UUUGGUUGUUCCUUAGUCGUUGACGAUGCUUGGCUUCAAUCUUAGUUUAGCUUUUAAUGUGGCAAGCAACGGAGGAAGAUGGCAGCGGAUGCUCUAUUAAUGGGUCCUAAUUAUAGUCCUAGGAUUUCUAGGAUGGGAGUGGUUUGAUUUGGGAUUUGGCUUAUGGUUUGCGUCUUCGGCUAGUUCAGUUUAAUUUGGGUAGAUGGGCUUGUAGUUAGCCCCAUAAUUGGUGGUUUUUUUCCCCAUUUUUUUUUUAAAAAUAUUUGUCCAAACCCAAAUUGUAACUUUGCCCUUUUUCUUUUUAAAUGCAAGAUAUGCAACAAACUUUGUG
rnacentral:misc_RNA from 1 species